rnacentral:rRNA from 1 species
GACGAACGCUGGCGGCGUGCUUAACACAUGCAAGUCGUACGGUAAGGCCCUUUCGGGGGUACACGAGUGGCGAACGGGUGCGUAACACGUGAGUAACCUGCCCACAACUUUGGGAUAACGCUAGGAAACUGGUGCUAAUACUGGAUAUGUGCCCCUGCUGCAUGGUGGGGGUUGGAAAGCUCCGGCGGUUGUGGAUGGACUCGCGGCCUAUCAGCUUGUUGGUGGGGUAGUGGCCUACCAAGGCGGCGACGGGUAGCCGGCCUGGGAGGGUGAUAGGCCACAUUGGGUCUGAGGAACGGCACAGACGCCUACGGUGGGCAGCAGUGGGGAAGAGUUCGCAAGUGCGGCAAGGCUGGUGCAGAUGGUCCGCGGGCGGGAUGACGAUCUUCGGGUUGUAAACCGCCUUCAGCAGGGACGAAGGUUGUUAUGACGGUACCUGCAGAAGAAGCACCGGCUAACUACGUG